CAUGAGAGAAUAAAUAAGCCUUCGAUUUCAAAGGUAGAUCGACGUGUAACAUAAACAGAAACAAAAUCGUGUUUUUUUGCAUUAGUUAUGAAGAUGAAUGUACACCUGGGAUCUUUUGUGUUGACCUCAAUUGGAAAUAUUUGUGUGUUGCUUCAUUUUAAUGGUCGUUGCUUCAACUAACAUCAAUAACACCUCCCAUAACCGCCUAUUCAUUCAUCACCUUCAUGCCACGGAAAGAGAUCCGUCUUCUUUUCUCUCUUUCAUUUUCCUCUCUAGCUAUGUGUUGGAUUUGUUUGUUGUGUGAGAAAAUUCAAAGAGAAACAAAAAUAAGAAGGUGUUGAUUUUCCCUUAAAUAGAGAAAUCCAGAAAACUUUUUUUUGGGAUUUUCACUACCUUUUUCUAACUAGUUUCUCUCUCAGGCAGUUUCAACGUGUAAACGUUUCUUUCUAUUAAUUAUUUACUUUUUUUUGUUUUUUUUUUGUUUUUUGUUAUUUGUUUUUAUUUUAUUUUGUGGAUACUGGUUUGUUUCAAGGAUUACUUCUUUUAAAAAUUUG
rnacentral:lncRNA from 1 species